GGGCGAAUGGUUUAGUGGUAUAAUACUCCCUUAGCAUGGUUCAUCAAGUGAAUUCAUUGACUGGGAGUGGUCCGGGGUUCGAUUCCCCGUUUGUCCA